rnacentral:lncRNA from 1 species
AAAAUCCAACUUUCCCCUUAGAACUAUACAUACGUCGGGUUCCAAUAUGAAAAACUCACUUUGUUAUACUCUUUAUGUGGCUUAUUGGGUCACAGAGAUAGUUUUUGUCCUGUCUGAUUAAGGAAAUAUUUCAAAGAAACAGAGAUAGGAUGGGAUAUCUCGCUUCGAGCUUCGAGAAGAAGGGUCAUAACAACAAAGAGCGCA